CCGCUUUCAAAUACCCACUAAAUUGCUCUAGUGAGAUUGUAAAUCACCCUACCGGAGAAUAAAAACAAUUACAAUACUUCACUAAAUCUAAUAAAUAUUGUUUUACUUCUGUUUAAUUAGCUGUCCCACAAAUUUGUCUCUUUUGUUUGACUAAGAGCUUGACUUGUAAUUAAUUUGUAAAUAUAAUAAACAGAUUAGUUGAACGAGGAAAAGCUGCUAGCAACGAAUAUUGUGGUUCGAGCCUAGACUAGAAUUGAGUAUAAUCUUGACGUUUUGAUUACAAUAACUCUGCGUAAUGAUGCGCGGUGUUGCAAAUGAGCUUAGCAUAAACACGUCGAAAUGUGGAUGUGUGGAAGACUCUCAGCCAUGUUUUCCCGGUGCAGAUGUGCUUCGAACAGCUUGACCUGAAGUCAGUUAAUAAUCAUACAUAUAAGACGUUAAUUUUUAUACAUAGAUAGCUGAUUAGCUUCCAAUUUCCUUAUAUAUGUUCCAAUUAAAAAAAGAUGAAACGAAUAAUGGAAAAUACGGAACAAGGAUCACUGACGGCGUCUUUGGAAAAGAGCUUUGCUGGGAAAGCAAGGUUGAAGACGACCAAGAAAAAUUAUCAGCAUCAAGCUAAUUACCAGCACCACCACCGGACUCUUGUUCAUGUUCACCAUCGUACGUACGUAGCUGUAUAAAAUAAGGAGCUUUUUUGCUACCUCUUCAGUGAAG
rnacentral:lncRNA from 1 species